rnacentral:lncRNA from 1 species
AGAUUUUAUAACUUUUAAAAUUAAGACCAUAUAGAUUUAAGAUCAUUUAAUCGAAAGAUUAUAAUUUGUCAAUGCGCAACUGUAACCAGGUACUGCAUUUUUUUUUUUGCAUGCGUCAAGAAACAGUUAAAAGUGCCGGGAAUAGAAAAGCAAGUUAAACUUCUCAUCUGGACUUUUUAAUAAGUCUGUAUACCGGACCUCUUCUCUAUUUUGGGAUUGAAAAAAAAAUCUAAAGUUAAAAAUGCGGUUUUGAGCCUAUUUCUUCUUUUUAAUUUGGUAAC